rnacentral:tRNA from 1 species
GAUGGGGUGCCUGAUUAAAGGAUUAUCAUGAUAGGAUAAAUAAAGUAAUUUUAUUACCCCCAUUA